rnacentral:rRNA from 1 species
GACGAACGCUGGCGGCGUGCUUAACACAUGCAAGUCGAGCGGUAAGGCCCUUUCGGGGGUACACGAGCGGCGAACGGGUGAGUAACACGUGGGUGACCUGCCCUCAGCUCUGGGAUAAGCCCGGGAAACUGGGUCUAAUACCGGAUAUGACUCCAUGACGCAUGUUGUGGGGUGGAAAGCCUUGUGCGGCUGAGGAUGGGGCCCGCGGCCUAUCAGCUUGUUGGUGGGGUGAUGGCCUACCAAGGCGACGACGGUAGCCGGCCUGAGAGGGCUACCGG